rnacentral:rRNA from 1 species
GACAGAGGGUGCAAACGUUGUUCGGAAUUACUGGGCGUAAAGCGCGUGUAGGCGGCCCUGCAAGUCGGAUGUGAAAUCCCACGGCUCAACCGUGGAAGUGCAUUCGAAACUGCAGGGCUAGAGUCCUGGAGAGGAAGGUGGAAUGCUUGGUGUAGAGGUGAAAUUCGUAGAUAUCAAGCGGAACACCGGUGGCGAAGGCGGCCUUCUGGACAGUGACUGACGCUGAGACGGCGAAAGCGUGGGGAGCAAACAGG